rnacentral:rRNA from 1 species
GUGAAAGUCCUGUAAUCGAAAAUUUUAUUAUCUUUAAUCUGUAUCCCAAGUAGGAAGAGACACGUGAAACCUCUUCUGAAUUUGCGAGGACCACCUCGUAAGACUAAAUAUUCCUGAAUAACCGAUAGUGAACCAGUACCGUGAGGGAAAGGUGAAAAGAACCCCGGGAGGGGAGUGAAAUAGAACAUGAAAUCGUAAGUUUACAAGCAGUAGAAGAGCGACUUAACGCUCGACUUCGUGCCUGUUGAAGAAUGAGCUGGCGACUUGUAGGUUAUGGCAAGGUUAAAGUAAGAAAAUACUGGAGCCAGAGUGAAAGCGAGCUUGAUAAGAGCGUUAAGUCAUAAUUUACAGACCCGAACCCGGAUGAUCUAACCAUGGCCAGUGUGAAGCUUAGGUAACACUAAGUGGAGGUACGAACCGACUGUUGUUGAAAAAACAGCGGAUGAGUUGUGGUUAGGGGUGAAAUUCCAAUCGAAUCCGGAGCUAGCUGGAUCUCCCCGAAAUGCGUUGAGGCGCAGCGACUAAUAUUUCUUCUUAGGGGUAAAGCUACUGUUUUGGUGCGGGCUGCGAGAGCGGUACCAAAUCAAUGCAAACUCUGAAUACUAAGACGUUUAGUUAGUUAGUGAGACAUUGGGGGAUAAGCUUCAAUGUCAAGAGGGAAACAGCCCAGAUUACCAGUUAAGGCCCCUAAAUAAUUACUAAGUGAUAAAGGAGGUGGGAGUGCAUAGACAAUCAGGAGGUUUGCUUAGAAGCAGCAAUCCUUUAAAGAGUGCGUAAUAGCUCACUGUUCGAGUGCUCCUGCGCCGAAAAUGAAUGGGACUAAGUAAUUUGCCGAAGCUGUAAGAUGUCAAAACAUCGGUAGGGGAGCGUUCUACAUUAGGUUGAAGCGUUAGCGAAAGCGGGCGUGGACAAAGUAGAAGUGAGAAUGUUAGCUUGAGUAGCGAAAACAUUGGUGAGAAUCCAAUGCCCCGAAAACCCAAGGGUUCCUCCGGAAGGCUCGUCCACGGAGGGUGAGUCAGGUCCUAAGGUGAGGCUAAUAGCGUAAUCGAUGGAUAACAGGUUAAUAUUCCUGUACUGUUUAUUGUUGGUAAAGGGGGACGGAGAAGGCUAGAUCGACCGAAUGUUGGUUAUCGGCUUAAGUAUUCGAGGUGAUGAGGUCCGGUGAAAACGGUCUGAGCUAAGAUGCGAAUAGGAAAGUGUUAAGACACUGAACCGAUUAAUGUCAUACUUCCAAGAAAAGCCCUAACUACCAUAAGCAAUAAAUACCUGUACCCGAAACCGACACAGGUGGGUAAGUAGAGAAUACUAAGGGGCGCGAGAUAACUCUCUCUAAGGAACUCGGCAAAAUGACCUCGUAACUUCGGGAGAAGAGGUGCCCUUAAACGGGCUGCAAGAACCAGACGCUGGCGACUGUUUAUCAAAAACACAGGUCUCCGCAAAGUCGUAAGACGAUAUAUGGGGGCUGACACCUGCCCAGUGCCGGAAGGUUAAGGAAGCUUGUUAGUCUUUGACAAAGCUCGCGACCGAAGCCCCGGUGAACGGCGGCCGUAACAAUAACGGU